CGGACACAACAUCUUCGUUUGUUUGUGGUGCUGAGGAUCGAACCCGGGCCGCACUCACGCCAGGCGAGCGCGCUACCGAUGGAGCCACAUCCCCAGCCCCCAGAUUCUGCUUCUUUGAGGAUCUGUGCAUCCCUCAGUCAAAACCUCUUCCCAAGUCCUAAAAUAAUUGCCUGGGCCACUGAUAUGGACGAGUGACCAGAUGGCUGUGCAGUCAUACAGGAAUCACUGACCAUCGUGUUGACACAUUGAACCCAAGACCAGUCAUGAAGAUGAGAAUUACCAGGGGUUUGAAAAGCUAUCCAGAAAAACUUCUUUGAGGAGGAAUCCAUCUCUCUCCUCCUGGAAUUCAGUCUCCAGAUGUCAGACCCAAGGCAGCGGCGGCAGCAGCACAUGGCUCCCCCCAGAGUGAAUCAGCCACAUUCCAAAGGUGCAAACACAGACGCCACGCCCGCCCGAGGCAGCCUGGGGCUGGAGACUUCCUCCCCAGGCCUGGCAGCCCAGCACCCCCUCCCCUCUUGCUGUUUCCCAGCCAGACCAAGCUGUGGGCUUCCUUUCCAGAGACAUUCUACUGGCACUGGAACCCGCAGAGAGCAUGCUGCUGGGCCAGAGAAACUCUGGGCCUAUAGGCUGCUUCCCCAACACCAGCCACUGACCCCAGCCUGGACCAGCGUGCUCACAGCUGUUAUCAAUAUACAUGGGUUCGUUCAUUCAGCAGGUAUUUAUUGAGCACCUACCACAUGGGGAACAAGAUACAAACAAGCACAACCUCAUGGAGCUCAGUUGAGCAAGAGAGUCACGCAAAACCAAGUCCACAGACAGAAAAGAAUUCUAAGGGGGAAGAAAUGGGCUGACAGAGGACAAAGUGACAAAGGGAGGGUUAUGCUAUGGGUGGUGAGGCCUGUCUUGAUUGGGGACAUGCCAUGUGAGUUGAGACCCUGAAGGAUGAAAAGAAACCUCCUCCUUCCAGUCACUUCUUGGCGAUCCUUUCAGGAGAACCAUUGCAGUAUUACCCCUAUGUACUGCCUCCCCGCACUUAGGAAGUUCUUUUUGUUUGUUUCUUCCUUUCUUCUUCUUCUUCUUCUUUUUUUUUUUUUUUUGUACCAGAGAUUAAACCCAGGGGUGCUUAACCAUUGAGCUACACCCCCAAUUCUUUUUUAUUGUUUAUUGUGACACAAGGUCUCGAAGAGUUGCUUAGGUCCUCUGUUGCUGAGGCUGGCCUCAAACUUGGGAUCCUCCGGCCUCAACCUUCCAAGCCACUGGAAUAAUUCAGACUUUGAUUAUGCCUCAGUAUAUAGUUCAGUGAUUUUCAGUAUAUUCAUGAUGUUGUGCAUCUAUCAUGACAAUCAAUUUCAGAAUAUUUCAUCAUCAAAAAAAAAAAAACCCUGCUUAGAGUCACUCCCUAUAGAUUAGGGGCCCCACCAGCCCCUAAUCUAUUUUCAUAUUCUGGACAUUACAUAUAAAAAGAAUCACACAAUACCUAGUUCUUUGUGGCUGGCUUCUUUCCUUCAGCAUGUAACAUGAAUCAGUGCUUCACUUCUUUUUAUGGCUAAAUAAUAUUCCACUGUGAGAACAGACCUCAAUUUGUUUAUCUCUUCAUCAGUUGAUAGACAUUGUUUCUGCUUUUUGGCUAUUAGAAAUAAUGCUGUAAUAGGUAUUUCCAUACACGUUUUGGUGUGGAUAUAUCUUUUCAUUUCCACCUAGGAGUAGAACUGCUGGGUCAUCCGGUAAGUAGGCUUAAACUUUUUUUUUUUUUCCUUCUCAGUACUGGGAAUUGAACC